UACGUAAGGAGCGAGCGUUGUCCGGAUUUACUGGGCGUAAAGGGCUCGUAGGUGGUUUCUUAGGUCUCACGUGAAAUUCCCUGGCUCAACCAGGGAGGGUCGUGGGAAACCGAGAGGCUAGAGGGCAGGAGAGGAGAGUGGAAUUCCCGGUGUAGCGGUGAAAUGCGUAGAGAUCGGGAGGAACACCAGUGGUGAAGACGGCUCUCUGGACUGUCCCUGACACUGAGGAGCGAAAGCCAGGGGAGCAAACAGGAUUAGAUACCCUGGUAGUCCCAGCUGUAAACGAUGAGUGCUAGGUGUGGAGGGCUACAAUCCUCCGUGCCGCAGUUAACGCAAUAAGCACUCCGCCUGGGGAGUACGGCCGCAAGGCUAAA
rnacentral:rRNA from 1 species